rnacentral:lncRNA from 1 species
UAAAUUAAGGAGUUAAGAGGACACAGCAGGUCAAUCGAAGUAAGUAAUUUAUUCACAAACGCCUGAUUUCCUUCAGAGCAAGUUUCACAUUCCGCAAUGACGAAGAAGAUGAGUGUGAUGAAGAAGAAGAAGCAGAUUUCAUGGAAGUCUCUGACUUCAGUUGCUACAAAAACAAUGAAUUGGUAGAACACGGCGUCAAGAAAAGCUCCUUCCGUCGGCUUUCGUUGUCUGAGUUAGCG